rnacentral:rRNA from 1 species
UGCGGGGGGAGCAAGCGUUGUUCGGAUUUACUGGGCGUAAAGGGCGCGUAGGCGGUCAGCACAAGUCAGUUGUGAAAUCUCCGGGCUUAACUCGGAAAGGUCAACUGAUACUGUGCGACUAGAGUGCGGAAGGGGCAACUGGAAUUCUCGGUGUAGCGGUGAAAUGCGUAGAUAUCGAGAGGAACACCUGCGGCGAAGGCGGGUUGCUGGGCCGACACUGACGCUGAUGCGCGAAAGCCAGGGGAGCGAACGGG